UUACAUUGUUUUAGAAUUAUAAUGUCUUAUAUUUUGCUAUUAUCAUUGUUUCAAUGAAAAUGGUGAGCAAAGUUUAAGACAUUCAUAUUUUGAAAUUUUCUUCCU
rnacentral:pre_miRNA from 1 species